rnacentral:sRNA from 1 species
GUCGGGUGCAGUGGCGCACACCUGUAAUCCCAGCAGUCUGGGAGGCUGAGGCAGGAGGAUCUCAGUUCAAAGCCAGCCUCAGCAAAGGUGAGGUGCUAAGCAACUCAGUGAGACCCUGUCUCUA